rnacentral:misc_RNA from 1 species
UCUUCCUAUCCGAGCUCCUAUUACCCCUGACAAUGAUUCUUCUGAGUUUGAAUAUAAUAGUCAUACUGACCAGGCUUAUAGUUAUACUAGCAGUAGUAUUGAUAAUGGGUCUGAGUCCGAGGAGUAUGUUAGUGGUGAGGAGUUUGAAAGUGCAUCAGAGAAGCUUUUUGCAGGUGACCCAGAUGAGGAAAACCCUGAGGAGAGUAACUUUUUGGACAAAUAUCAACUGUCUAGGCCUUUUGUACCCAACUCAGAUGAAGAAAGUUUGGGAAAUUCCGUUAUAGACGAGGAGGAGAGAGGUGUUACUGAUGAGCAUAACCCUGUUGUUGAAUCCGAUUGUCCCGGUAUGCAGCGAGUUAUGCCUGUUGCCCAAUUGUCCAUGGAUGACGAUGUUUUUGAGGAUUUAAUGCGUGAUGAGGGACUGAUGAGUGGUGAAACGGGAGAUGGCAAGUUUUCAGCUAUUGCUAGUGCACCUAGAGUCAAAGUGUCGGCUGCUGAAGAGGAUAAAGUUGAGUUAUUGGUGAAAAGAGAUUCAUCUAUUGUGAACGAGAUUGAGUUGCUACCAAUUGGAGAUUAUGAGGAUUUGGUUUCUGGCAAUUCUUUUGGAGCAGAAGACCAUGGUGUUCCAGGUAAAGAAGAUGGUAAAUUUGCAGGAAAAGGAUCUCCUAGUGGUGCUGUUUCGGUUGAAUUGACCAAGGAUGAUUCCCAUGUGGUUAUAUCGGAAGCUGAAGUUAAGCCUUCGGUGGAAAAUAAAGAGA